UGGGGAAUAUUGGACAAUGGGCGAAAGCCUGAUCCAGCCAUGCCGCGUGUGUGAAGAAGGUCUUCGGAUUGUAAAGCACUUUAAGUUGGGAGGAAGGGCAGUAAAUUAAUACUUUGCUGUUUUUGACGUUACCGACAGAAUAAGCACCGGCUAACUCUGUGCCAGCAGCCGCGGUAAUACAGAGGGGUGCAAGCGUUAAUCGGAAUUACUGGGCGUAAAGCGCGCGUAGGUGGUUCGUUAAGUUGGAUGUGAAAUCCCCGGGCUCAACCUGGGAACUGCAUUCAAACUGACGAGCUAGAGUAUGGUAGAGGGUGGUGGAAUUUCCUGUGUAGCGGUGAAAUG
rnacentral:rRNA from 1 species